GCGUAAAGGACGCGUAGGCGGAUUAUCAAGUCUUUUGUGAAAUCUAACAGCUUAACUGUUAAACUGCUUGAGAAACUGAUAAUCUAGAGUGAGGGAGAGGCAGAUGGAAUUGGUGGUGUAGGGGUAAAAUCCGUAGAGAUCACCAGGAAUACCCAUUGCGAAGGCGAUCUGCUGGAACUCAACUGACGCUAAUGCGUGAAAGCGUGGGGAGCAAACAGGAUUAGAUACCCUGGUAGUCCACGCCCUAAACGAUGUAUACUAGUUGUUGCUGUGCUAGUCACGGCAGUAAUGCACCUAACGGAUUAAGUAUACCGCCUGGGGAGUACGGUCGCAAGAUUAAAACUCAAAGGAAUAGACGGGGACCCGCACAAGCGGUGGAGCAUGUGGUUUAAUUCGAAGAUACGCGAAGAACCUUACCUGGGCUUGAUAUCCAACUAAUCUCUUAGAG
rnacentral:rRNA from 1 species